rnacentral:rRNA from 1 species
GACGAACGCUGGCGGCGUGCCUAAUACAUGCAAGUUGAACGCUAAAGCUUUAACUGGUGCUUGCACCGACCUAAGUUUUUAGUAGCGGACGGGUGAGUAACACGUGGGUAACCUACCUAUAAGACUGGGAUAACUCCGGGAAACCGGGGCUAAUACCGGAUAAUAUUUUGAACCGCAUGGUUCAAUAGUGAAAGACGGUUUCGGCUGUCACUUAUAGAUGGACCCGCGCCGUAUUAGCUAGUUGGUAAGGUAAUGGCUUACCAAGGCGACGAUACGUAGCCGACCUGAGAGGGUGAUCGGCCACACUGGAACUGAGACACGGUCCAGACUCCUACGGGAGGCAGCAGUAGGGAAUCUUCCGCAAUGGGCGAAAGCCUGACGGAGCAACGCCGCGUGAGUGAUGAAGGUCUUCGGAUCGUAAAACUCUGUUGUUAGGGAAGAACAAAUUUGUUAGUAACUGAACAAGUCUUGACGGUACCUAACCAGAAAGCCACGGCUAACUACGUGCCAGCAGCCGCAGUAAGAC